rnacentral:rRNA from 1 species
GAUGAACGCUGGCGGCGUGCCUAAUACAUGCAAGUCGAGCGGACAGACCAGGAUUUUGCUCCUCUGACGUGAGCGGCGGAGGGGAGAGUAACACGAGUAUAACCUACCUAUCAGACUGGGAUAAUUACGAGAAACCGGCGCUAAUACCGUAGAAGAUAUUGCUCCGCAUGGGUCGAUAGUGAAAUACGGCUUUUCGGUCUCGUAUAGAGGUAUCCGGGCCGCAUUAGCUAGUUGGGAAGGUAAAGGCUUAUCAAGGCAACGAUGCGUAGCCGAACUGAGAGGGUGAUCGGCCACACUGGAACUGAGACACGGUCCAGACGCCUACGGGAGGCAGCAGUAGGGAAUCUGAGGCAAUGGGCGAAAGCUUGACGCAGCAACGCCGCGUGUGUGAUGAAGGUCUUCGGAUCGUAAAGCUCUGUUAUUGGGGAAGAACAAAUGUGGACGUAAAUGUGGAGGUAUUGACGGUACCUAAUCAAAAAGCACCGGCUAACUACGUG